GGUCUGGUCAUAUCCCAGAUAUUUUUGGUAGCUGAGCUCAUCAUUGGAAUUGAAUAUGUCAGGUCUGGUGCCUGGAGGAAAGCAGGACCCUCCAAUGGUCCAUGUAUUUUAAUCGAUUUCCUAUCUUGAGUGACCGUUAAAGAUCUGAGGUAGGACCAUCUAUAUGAAUGGUCUGCAUACUAAAGGACCUUGGUAAGAGACUGCAUAGAAUUCCGCCACAUUAACGUAGCUCUGCUGAG